UGUUUCUCACCCAGUUCGAAACCUCUCGUGGGUAGGGGGGUAUUGUAACGAAGCAUUUCGGACCAACGAGCCUUGUAGCGACAUCUUGUGGUUUCUGGCGAUAUAACAUUGUUUUUAUAUUUUACCCGCAGGAAAUCACAGAUGGCGCUGCAGGGUUAUCGAUGGGCCCGAAUAUUUUUAAUUAUUUUAUUUUCUUCAAAAUUUGGUAUAUUAAAAUUAUCUGCAACAUUUAUUUUUGAUAUAUUAUAAUUAUAUUGUUUAAAUUUUGGGAUCAAACAAGUCGAUCGAUUGUUGUCGUUGAUUCGGCGAAUUUAUGGUUUGGUAGAUUUUAUUUUGGUUGGCAACAUUGUUGGUUCGUGUGUCAGACUGACAGCUGGCUCAGCUGAGAGACAGGUUUUGGAAAGUGGGGACGUCGCGAGAGCGCCGGAGACUCCACUGCCGUAACUAUAAUGUGGGCAAAUUAAAAGCCACGAUUUAUCGGCGACAUCAAGAGCCGAUGUCUCGAUUUAAAUAAACAACUUAACCGAGAUGCAACUUCACUGAAAUCCCAUCGCCGAAGGUCCAGUGGGUGGGUUUAGGUUUCAUCCGAGCGAUGCCCAACUAUCCCGGAUGAACCUGUAAGUUAUUUUCUUUGUUUUACACUCGUGAGUUGCCUUGCCACGCUGUCAGCUGAACCACAUGCUAAUCAUUGCCAUUCCUUGUUGCA